rnacentral:rRNA from 1 species
UUAACAAAAACAUGUCCUUUUGGUAAGUAUUUAAGGUCUAAUCUGCCCUAUGAUUAAUAAUUUAAAUGGCCGCGAUAUUUUGAUCGUGCGAAGGUAGCAUAAUCAUUAGCUUUUUAAUUGAAAGCUGGUAUGAAUGAUUGGACAAGAAACUUUCUGUCUCAAAUUUAUUAUUUGAAUUUUAUUUUUUAGUUAAAAAGCUUAAAUUAUUUUGUAAGACGAGAAGACCCUAUAGAGUUUAAUAUUUUUAGUUACAUUUAGAUUUUAGAAUUAGUAAUCUUUUUGUUUUGUAAAAUAUUUGGUUGGGGUGACAGAAAAAUUUAUUAAACUUUUUAUUUAUAAAAUAUUAAUUUAUAGGUUAUUGACUUAUCUAGAAUAGUUAUAAGACUAAAUUACCUUAGGGAUAACAGCGUAAUUUUUCUAAAGAGUUCAUAUCGAAAGAAAAGAUUGCGACCUCGAUGUUGGAUUAAAGUUAAAAUUUGGUGCAGAAGCUGGAUGGUUUAGUCUGUUCGACUAUUAAAACUUUACAUGAUCUGAGUUUAAACCGGCGUGAGCCAGGUUGGUUUCUAUCUUCAAUUAGUUAUAAAUAUUUUAGUACGAAAGGACCAAAUAUUUUUUAAAUUAAUUUUAUUAAUUGAAUAUAAUU